AACGCACCUUGCGCUCUCUGGUAUUCCGGAGAGCACGUCUGUCUGAGUGUCGCUUUACUCUCAACCACCCAGUUUUCUUUUAAUUAGAAGACUUGAGGAGUUGGAUCUUGAGCGUUGCCGGGUCCCUUGGUUGGGAUCGUUGGCUCGCUUUAAAAGUCUGGAUUGUGUCUUCGAGGUCGUUAAUCCUAGUCGACGUGUAAUUAAAUUUAUCGUUGGCGUCCGGAGGCCUCUUAAUGGACCUUUCCCCCCUAUCGUUAAAGUCUUAGGACUUUUUCUGUUUGAACUUUUGACCUCAGAUCAGGCGGGACUACCCGCUGAACUUAA
rnacentral:rRNA from 1 species